ACCCAGUGUGAUUCGUCACACUAUCAUUAACUGAAUCCAUAGGUUAAUGAGGCGAACCGGGGGAACUGAAACAUCUAAGUACCCCGAGGAAAAGAAAUCAACCGAGAUUCCCCCAGUAGCGGCGAGCGAACGGGGAGGAGCCCAGAGCCUGAAUCAGCAUGUGUGUUAGUGGAAGCGUCUGGAAAGGCGCGCGAUACAGGGUGACAGCCCCGUACACAAAAGCGCAUGUGCUGUGAGCUCGAUGAGUAGGGCGGGACACGUGGUAUCCUGUCUGAAUAUGGGGGGACCAUCCUCCAAGGCUAAAUACUCCUGACUGACCGAUAGUGAACCAGUACCGUGAGGGAAAGGCGAAAAGAACCCCGGCGAGGGGAGUGAAAAAGAACCUGAAACCGUGUACGUACAAGCAGUGGGAGCCCCACCACCAAAGCAUUUGCUGUACCGCGUUGACGGAGCGAAGCGACGUCAAACCGAUAAAACAGCAGUGUAAAGUGAG
rnacentral:rRNA from 1 species